rnacentral:rRNA from 1 species
GACGUAGGGGGCCAGCGUUGUUCGGAAUUACUGGGUGUAAAGGGUUCGUAGGCGGUGUGGCAAGUCGGGAGUGAAAUCUCUGGGCUCAACUCAAGAGGACUGCUUCCGAAACUGCUGUGCUGGAGUGUGGGAGAGGCGCGUGGAAUUGCAGGUGUAGCGGUGAAAUGCGUAGAUAUCUGCAGGAACACCCGUGGCGAAAGCGGCGCGCUGGACCACUACUGACGCUGAGGAACGAAAGCUAGGGGAGCAAACAGG